UAAGGAAUAUUGGUCAAUGGACGCAAGUCUGAACCAGCCAUGCCGCGUGAAGGAAGACGGCCCUACGGGUUGUAAACUUCUUUUGUACGGGAAAAAACCACCGGUCGAGCAUCGGUGCUGAUGGUCCCGUAAGAAUAAGCCUCGGCUACCUCCGUGCCAGCCGCCGCGGUAAUACGUAGGAUGCAAGCGUUCUCCGGUUUCAUUGGGUUUAAAGGGUGCGCAGGCGGAAUGAUAAGACAGUGGUGAAAUCCUACGGCUCAACUGUCGAACUGCCAUUGAUACUGUUGAUCUUGAGUACAGUUGGAGUGGGCGGAAUGGGGCAUGUAGCGGUGAAAUGCUUAGAUAUGACACAGAACACCGAUGGCGAAGGCAGCUCACUAAAUUGUAACUGACGCUCAUGCACGAAAGCGUGGGGAUCAAACA
rnacentral:rRNA from 1 species